rnacentral:rRNA from 1 species
AUUGAACGCUGGCGGCAGGCUUAACACAUGCAAGUCGAGCGGGGGAGGUUGCUUCGGUAACUGACCUAGCGGCGGACGGGUGAGUAAUACUUAGGAAUCUGCCUAUUAAUGGGGGACAACAUCUCGAAAGGGAUGCUAAUACCGCAUAGGCCCUACGGGGGAAAGCAGGGGAUCACUUGUGACCUUGCGUUAAUAGAUGAGCCUAAGUCGGAUUAGCCAGUUGGUGUGGUAAAGGCCUACCAAGGCGACGAUCUGUAGCGGGUCUGAGAGGAUGAUCCGCCACACUGGGACUGAGACACGGCACAGACUCCUACGGGAGGCAGCAGUGGGGAAUAUUGGACAAUGGGGGGAACCCUGAUCCAGCCAUGCCGCGUGUGUGAAGAAGGCCUUAUGGUUGUAAAGCACUUUAAGCGAGGAGGAGGCUCUUUUGGUUAAUACCCAAGAUGAGUGGACGUUACUCGCAGAAUAAGCACCGGCUAACUCUGUGCCAGCCGCCGCAGUAAGAC